UACGUAGGGUGCAAGCGUUGUCCGGAAUUAUUGGGCGUAAAGAGCUCGUAGGCGGUCUGUCGCGUCUGCUGUGAAAGUCCAGGGCUCAACCCUGGAUCUGCAGUGGGUACGGGCAGACUAGAGUGCGGUAGGGGAGAUCGGAAUUCCUGGUGUAGCGGUGAAAUGCGCAGAUAUCAGGAGGAACACCGGUGGCGAAGGCGGAUCUCUGGGCCGUAACUGACGCUGAGGAGCGAAAGCAUGGGGAGCGAACAGG
rnacentral:rRNA from 1 species